rnacentral:rRNA from 1 species
UACGAAGGGGGCUAGCGUUGUUCGGAUUCAUUGGGCGUAAAGGGUGCGUAGGCGGCGGGGCAAGUCAGGUGUGAAAUCUCGGGGCUCAACCCCGAAACUGCACUUGAUACUGCCUUGCUCGAGUACUGGAGAGGAGACUGGAAUUUACGGUGUAGCAGUGAAAUGCGUAGAUAUCGUAAGGAAGACCAGUGGCGAAGGCGAGUCUCUGGACAGUUACUGACGCUGAGGCACGAAGGCCAGGGGAGCAAACGGG